ACCUACGGGGGGCAGCAGUAGGGAAUUUUCGUCAAUGGGCGCAAGCCUGAACGAGCAAUGCCGCGUGAACGAGGAAGGUCUUCGGAUCGUAAAGCUCUGUUGAAGGGGAAAAAGAGCGGAGAGAGGAAAUGGUCUCCGAUUGAUAUUACCCUUCGAGGAAGUCACGGCUAACUACGUGCCAGCAGCCGCGGUAAUACGUAGGUGGCGAGCGUUAUCCGGAAUGAUUGGGCGUAAAGGGUGCGUAGGCGGCCUGCUAAGUCUGGAGUGAAAGGUACCGGCUCAACCGGUACAGGCUCUGGAAACUG
rnacentral:rRNA from 1 species